rnacentral:rRNA from 1 species
AUAGAUACCCCGGUAGUCCACGCCGUAAACGAUGAGUGCUAAGUGUUAGGGGGUUUCCGCCCCUUAGUGCUGCAGCUAACGCAUUAAGCACUCCGCCUGGGGAGUACGGUCGCAAGACUGAAACUCAAAGGAAUUGACGGGGGCCCGCACAAGCGGUGGAGCAUGUGGUUUAAUUCGAAGCAACGCGAAGAACCUUACCAGGUCUUGACAUCCCAUUGACCACUAUGGAGACAUAGUUUUCCCUUCGGGGACAACGGUGACAGGUGGUGCAUGGUUGUCGUCAGCUCGUGUCGUGAGAUGUUGGGUUAAGUCCCGCAACGAGCGCAACCCUUGUUCUUAGUUGCCAUCAUUUAGUUGGGCACUCUAAGGAGACUGCCGGUGACAAACCGGAGGAAGGUGGGGAUGACGUCAAAUCAUCAUGCCCCUUAUGACCUGGGCUACACACGUGCUACAAUGGACGGUACAAACGGUUGCCAACCCGCGAGGGGGAGCUAAUCCGAUAAAACCAUUCUCAGUUCGGAUUGUAGGCUGCAACUCGCCUACAUGAACG